GAGUGGCGGACGGGUGAGUAAUGUCUGGGAAACUGCCUGAUGGCGGGGGAUAACUACUGGAAACGGUAGCUAAUACCGCAUACCAUCAGAUGUGCCCAGAUGGGCUUAGCUUGUUGGUGGGGUAACGGCUCACCAAGGCGACGAUCCCUAGCUGUUCUGAGAGGAUGACCAGCCACACGGGAACGGAGACACGGUCCAGACUCCUACGGGAGGCAGCAGUGGGGAAUAUUGAACAAUGGGCGCAAGCCUGAUGCAGCAAUGCCGCGUGUAUGAAGAAGGACUUCGGGUUGUAAAGUACUUUCAGCGGGGAGGCGUUACCCGCAGAAGAAGCACCGGCUAACUCCGUGCCAGCAGCCGCGGUAAUUA
rnacentral:rRNA from 1 species